UGGUGGUGCUGCGCCUGCAGGCGGUGCUGCCCCGGCUGAGGAGAAGAAAGAAGAGGAAAAGAAAGAAGAAUCAGAGGAAUCUGAUGAUGACAUGGGCUUUGGUCUUUUUGACUAACUAGUUUUGUACCUGAUGUAAUAAAGACCAUUUAAUUGUA